rnacentral:rRNA from 1 species
UGGGGAAUAUUGGACAAUGGGCGCAAGCCUGAUCCAGCCAUGCCGCGUGAGUGAUGACGGCCCUAGGGUUGUAAAGCUCUUUCACCGGUGAAGAUAAUGACGGUAACCGGAGAAGAAGCCCCGGCUAACUUCGUGCCAGCAGCCGCGGUAAUACGAAGGGGGCUAGCGUUGUUCGGAUUUACUGGGCGUAAAGCGCACGUAGGCGGACUUUUAAGUCAGGGGUGAAAUCCCGGGGCUCAACCCCGGAACUGCCUUUGAUACUGGAAGUCGUGAGUAUGGUAGAGGUGAGUGGAAUUCCGAGUGUAGAGGUGAAAUGCGUAGAUAUUCGGAGGAACACCAGUGGCGAAGGCGGCUCACUGGACCAUUACUGACGCUGAGGUGCGAAAGCGUGGGGAGCAAACAGG